ACGAACGCUGGCGGCGUGCCUAAUACAUGCAAGGUGAGCGCUUAAGGUUGGUACUUGUACCAACUGGAUGAGCAGCGAACGGGUGAGUAACGCGUGGGGAAUCUGCCUUUGAGCGGGGGACAACAUUUGGAAACGAAUGCUAAUACCGCAUAAAAACUUUAAACACAAGUUUUAAGUUUGAAAGAUGCAAUUGCAUCACUCAAAGAUGAUCCCGCGUUGUAUUAGCUAGUUGGUGAGGUAAAGGCUCACCAAGGCGAUGAUACAUAGCCGACCUGAGAGGGUGAUCGGCCACAUUGGGACUGAGACACGGCCCAAACUCCUACGGGAGGCAGCAGUAGGGAAUCUUCGGCAAUGGACGAAAGUCUGACCGAGCAACGCCGCGUGAGUGAAGAAGGUUUUCGGAUCGUAAAACUCUGUUGGUAGAGAAGAACGUUGGUGAGAGUGGAAAGCUCAUCAAGUGACGGUAACUACCCAGAAAGGGACGGCUAACUACGUG
rnacentral:rRNA from 1 species